CUCUUGACCAGGGUUUGGCUUCUCCAGAGCUCUGCCGGAGGCACGCGCCGGCCAACUUCAGCCGGUUCUACUUCCCGUACCGCACGGCCAACGGGCUCCUCUGCGUCACCAACUGCACCCUCAACGUCCCCGGCUCCUUCGAUUGCCACCGCGGGCUCUGCCGGCUCACCCUGGACGGGCCCCAGUGCUUCUGCCCGGACCUGCCCUGGUACCUCUCGGCCGGUGACCGCUGCCAGACCCACAUCAGCAAACUGGGGCUGGGGCUGGGCGUGGGGCUGGGGCUGGGCCUGACCAUCCUCAUCCUCCUCAUCCUCUGCAUCGUCCUCACCGUCCGCUUGGCCCGAGGGAGGCCGAAAUCACCCGGACCAAGCGCGGCCGCCGAGGAGACUUGGCCGGACGGGGGCCGCAACAGCCGCGUCACCGGGAUCUACCACGUCAACGGCAGAGGCGGCGGUGCCGGGAAAGGUGGGUC
rnacentral:lncRNA from 1 species